rnacentral:rRNA from 1 species
UUGAACGCUGGCGGCAUGAUUUACACAUGCAAGUCGAACGGUAACAGGCCGCAAGGUGCUGACGAGUGGCGAACGGGUGAGUAAUGCAUCGGAACGUGCCCAGUCGUGGGGGAUAACUACUCGAAAGAGUAGCUAGUACCGCAUACGAUCUAUGGAUGAAAGCGGGGGACCGUAAGGCCUCGCGCGAUUGGAGCGGCCGAUGUCAGAUUAGGUAGUUGGUGGGGUAAAGGCUCACCAAGCCAACGAUCUGUAGCUGGUCUGAGAGGACGACCAGCCACACUGGGACUGAGACACGGCCCAGACUCCUACGGGAGGCAGCAGUGGGGAAUUUUGGACAAUGGGCGCAAGCCUGAUCCAGCAAUGCCGCGUGCAGGAAGAAGGCCUUCGGGUUGUAAACUGCUUUUGUACGGAACGAAACGGCUCCGGUUAAUACCCGGGGCUAAUGACGGUACCGUAAGAAUAAGCACCGGCUAACUACGUG